UCCUACGGAAGAAUUAGCCUCACCAUACUGAACAGUCAGCCCCUACCUGAAUUUCCAAAGUGUUGAGCCUGAAUUAGUAGCUUUCAGGAUAAUCACAUCUCAUGAGAGCUAAAUGAAAAACCAGACUUUUUAAAAGUCACCUUCAACAUCUGUACUGUAGUAUUCAAAAUAUUAGUUACGGAAGUGAUUGUGGAGCAUUUAAACAUUCGAUUGUGUUUGUUUAAACUUUGAAAUGAAGAUGAAUUCCAGAGUGGGAACAUGAAGUCUUUGGUGACGUGAACCAGCUGAGGGCAGUGCUGCCGCCUCUGCACUUGUUCAAGUGCCAGGGCUUGGCCUCCGGCCCGAGGGCAGGUGAGUUCCUGAGCCACUGUGGCUCACCCCGCCCUGCUCCGUCUGCGCUAGGUUGCAGCCCCACCCACGUCACGGUGUACAGCGAGUAUGGCGUGGACGUCUUUGAUGUGCGCACCAUGGAGUGGGUGCAGACCAUCGGCCUGCGGAGGGUAAGGCGGCCUCGGCGCCCUCCUGUGCGGGCAGGCUUCUCCCGGUGCGGGCGGGCUUCUCCCAGUGCAGUCUGUGCGUGGCCGCGCUUACUGUCCCUCCCUGGUUUCCAAUCCAGAUAAGGCCCCUGAACUCUGAAGGCACCCUCAACCUCCUCAACUGCGAGCCUCCACGCUUGAUCUACUUCAAGAGCAAGUUCUCGGGAGCGGUUCUCAACGUGCCGGACACCUCCGAC
rnacentral:sRNA from 1 species